UACGAAGGGGGCUAGCGUUGCUCGGAAUCACUGGGCGUAAAGCGCACGUAGGCGGAUUGCUAAGUCAGGGGUGAAAUCCUGGAGCUCAACUCCAGAACUGCCUUUGAUACUGAAGAUCUUGAGUUCGGGAGAGGUGAGUGGAACUGCGAGUGUAGAGGUGAAAUUCGUAGAUAUUCGCAAGAACACCAGUGGCGAAGGCGGCUCACUGGCCCGAUACUGACGCUGAGGCACGAAAGCGUGGGAGCAAAC
rnacentral:rRNA from 1 species